AGGGUGUACGGUGGAUGCCUUGGCACCAGAAGGCGAUGAAGGGCGUGGUUAACUGCGAUAAUCCCUGGGGAGCCGUAAGCAGGCUUUGAUCCAGGGGUACCCGAAUGGGGAAACCUACCAUAGCAAACCUAUGGUAUCCUUACCUGAAUAAAAUAGGGUAAGGAGGCAAGACGGGGGGAACUGAAACAUCUAAUUACCCCCAGGAAGAGAAAGUAAUAACGAUUCCCUAAGUAGCGGUGAGCGAAAAGGGAAGAGCCUAAACGGUAAGGAUGUGAUAGUCGGUAGACGUUGUCCUUGCCGGGUCGUGGGACCUGAUAUGAUUCUUCUACCGAAGAAUCGAAGAGUCAAAAAGUCUUUUUCUAGCCGAAAUGACAUUGGAAAAGUCUACCCUAGAUGGUGAUAGUCCAGUAGGCGAAAGGAAGAGACCUCUUUCAUCAGGCACCCGAGUAUCAUGGGAUAAGGGAAGCCCUGUGAGAAUUUAGGAGGAC
rnacentral:rRNA from 1 species